UGCAAGUCGAGGGAGAAGCCCCUUCGGGGCAGAAACCCGGCGCACGGGUGCGUAACGCGUAUGCAACCUACCUUUCACAGGGGGAUAGCCCGAAGAAAUUUGGAUUAAUACCCCAUAAUAUUAUUGGAUGGCAUCAUUUGAUAAUUAAAAUUACGAUGGUGAAAGAUGGGCAUGCGUCCUAUUAGCUAGUUGGAGUGGUAACGGCACCCCAAGGCUCGAUAGGUAGGGGUCCUGAGAGGGAGAUCCCCCACACUGGUACUGAGACAGGGACCAGACUCCUACGGGAGGCAGCAGUGAGGAAUAUUGGUCAAUGGUCGGAAGACUGAACCAGCCAUGCCGCGUGCAGGAAGAAUGCCUUAUGGGUUGUAAACUGCUUUUAUAUGGGAAGAAUAAGGAGUACGCGUACUUUGAUGACGGUACCAAU
rnacentral:rRNA from 1 species